AUUGAACGCUGGCGGCAGGCCUAACACAUGCAAGUCGAGCGGAGCGGCGGACGGGUGAGUAAUGCCUAGGAAUCUGCCUGGUAGUGGGGGAUAACGUCCGGAAACGGGCGCUAAUACCGCAUACUCUCAGAUGAGCCUAGGUCGGGUUAGCUAGUUGGUGGGGUAAAGGCCUACCAAGGCGACGAUCCGUAACUGGUCUGAGAGGAUGAUCGGUCACAAUGGAACUGAGAGACAGUCGAGACUCCUACGGGAGGCAGCAGUGGGGAAUAAUGGACAAAGGGCGAGAGCCUGAUCCAGCAAUUCUGUGUGUGUGAAGAAGGUUUUAGGAAUGUAAAACACUUUUAGUAGGGAAGCGGUACCUACAGAAGAAGCAACGGCUAAAUACGUGCCAGCAGCCGCGGUAAUAC
rnacentral:rRNA from 1 species